GACAGUUUCAGUUUAUGUAUGUGACAUUAACUUAUCCAACGCAAGUCAUAGUGAUUCAUAUUUUAUUGCACGGCUGUCAAAAAGCUCCUGAAUUCUUCACUUUGCUGAACAGUUAUAUGGAGACAAAUAAAUGUGAUUCGUAUGGAGAUUCACCUGUAAUUCAGGAAAAAGAUUUUCAUGAAAGCAUAAAAUCCCAAAGGGUUAUUGUUUAUGUAUAAAAUGUGUACUGCUGAAUAUUUGUAUAUCAUACUAUGCAAUAAUACAUUAUUUAUAUGAAUUAAUGCAUGCGGUGAUCCCCAGCUGUUGUAGGACUACUACUUCC